UCCCUCUUAGCUCAGUGGUAGAGCGCGUCACUAGUAUUUGCUUACUCGAAGAGUCGAAAUAUGACGAGGUCAGUCGUUCAAGUCGGCUAGAGGGAA